GACGAACGCUGGCGGCGUGCUUAACACAUGCAAGUCGAACGGAAAUGCCCUGCUUUUGUGGGUUGCUCAAGUGGCGAAAGGGUGAGUAACACGUGAGUAACCUGCCCUUGACUUUGGGAUAACUUCAGGAACCUGGGGCUAAUACCGGAUAGGCUCUCCUGCUGCAUGGUUGGGGUUGGAAAGUUUCGGCGGUUGGGGGUGGACUCGCGGAUUAUCAUCUUGUUGGUGGGGUAGUGGCUUACCAAGGAUGUGACGGGUAGCCGGCCUGAGAGGGUGACCGGCCACAUGGGGAGUGAGAUACGGCCGAGACUCCGACGGGAGGGAGGAGUGGGGAAUAUGGCAAAAUGGGCGGAAGCCUGAGGGAGAAACGGCGUGUGCGGGAUGAGGGACUUCGUGUUGUAGACCGGUUGAGCCGGUGACGAAGCGUGAGUGAAGGGAAUGGGUAAAGAAGCACCGGCUAACUACGUG
rnacentral:rRNA from 1 species